CCUACGGGCGGCAGCAGUGGGGAAUAUUGCACAAUGGGCGCAAGCCUGAUGCAGCCAUGCCGCGUGUAUGAAGAAGGCCUUAGGGUUGUAAAGUACUUUCAGUUGGGAGGAAGGCGUUGAUGCUAAUAUCAUCAACGAUUGACGUUACCAACAGAAGAAGCACCGGCUAACUUCGUGCCAGCAGCCGCGGUAAUACGGAGGGUGCAGGCGUUAAUCGGAAUUACUGGGCGUAAAGCGCACGCAGGCGGUUGAUUAAGUUAGAUGUGAAAUCCCCGGGCUUAACCUGGGAAUGGCAUCUAAGACUGGUCAGCUAGAGUCUUGUAGAGGGGGGUGGAAUUCCAUGUGUAGCGGUGAAAUGCGUAGAGAUGUGGAGGAAUACCGGUGGCGAAGGCGGCCCCCUGGACAAAGACUGACGCUCAGGUGCGAAAGCGUGGGGAGCAAACAGGAUUAGAUACCCGUGUAGUCA
rnacentral:rRNA from 1 species